CCGCAUGUUCACGGUACAUUUUUUAUGGAAUAUGUUGAGCAAACCUGGAGAAGCGUCAGCUCAAGAGAUUAUUGUUGUCAUUGCUGUGGAUUUUUACCUGAUAAACUGACUUGGCUCGGGACCAGCACUCCUGUUGUUGGACAGAAAGACAUCAACUCAGUGACUUGAGAUAUGACUGCACUAUGCUGUUGCUGGUGACUCCAGUUAAUUCUACAAGACUGUACCCUCUGCAGGAUCGAUGCUCUGCAGGACUUUAUCACCGUUUUCAACUUCUGCCCACAGAGAGGAAAUUCAGGUCAGUUCAAACACACACUAACAGAAUCCAAAGCUGUACAGACCCUCAUUAAACACUCACGCUUUACACACAGCUGUGGGUCAAUAUGAACGUGUCACGCAGGUGUACGAGGUCGGACUCCGAGAUUUUUGCGACCUUCUGCUGCCACCUUCCUUUGCCUCGGUGGGUGUCUUUAUCUGAGCAUCCCUUUAGCCCCCACUAUGACGCCCCUGGUAGCAACAUUUAACUUUCCGGGAUGUUUACAAUCAGACAAAAAAGCCUCAGUUUUGAGCGUAAUCAGCUCUUAUUCUGACCUCACCACAGCACCAUCUGUUCAACACGACGUCUGUGUGCAGACUCAUGACGUCAUGUCACACGUAUUAAAACACAUGAGAGAGAUGCUGGUUCAUCACAGCCAUAAAUAUGUUAAAAAUGAAGAUAUUUUACUGUGUUCAGGUAUCAGAUUUAGUGUUAAUUUUAUUCACUCAUCCAGUGUUUGUUUAGCUUUUUCAAAUGUUUCAGGUGCCAAAAAAAAAAACAAGCAAACAAACAAAACAAAAAUCUUUGUUUACUUUAGUCUUAGUUCAAAGUUCAGUACGUGUACUGGCCUCGUACAGUAAACAUUCAGUAUUAUUUGUAAUAUAUGAGGCAUUUUAAUAGGAAAGGCUGUGUUUGGAUCCACGUGUUUUCAUGUUGUCUGCGAAUAUGAAAAGUGAGGCUCAGUGUUUGUUGUUAAACUUUAACCUUGCGUAUUCCCUGCAAUAAAACUAGACAUUUGU
ensembl:lncRNA